UACGUAGGGUGCGAGCGUUAAUCGGAAUUACUGGGCGUAAAGUGUGCGCAGGCGGCCAUGCAAGUCGAGUGUGAAAGCCCCGGCUUAACUUGGGAAUUGCGCUCGAAACUACGUGGCUGGAGUGUGGGCAGAGGAAGGUGGAAUUCCACGUGUAGCGGUGAAUGCGUAGAGAUGUGGAGGAACACCAAUGGCGAAGGCAGCCUUCUGGGCCAACACUGACGCUCAUGCACGAAAGCGUGGGGAGCAAACAGG
rnacentral:rRNA from 1 species